rnacentral:rRNA from 1 species
AGAGUUUGAUCCUGGCUCAGGAUGAACGCUAGCGACAGGCUUAACACAUGCAAGUCGAGGGGCAGCGGGGAGAUAGCAAUAUCUUCGCCGGCGACCGGCGCACGGGUGAGUAACACGUAUGCAACCUGCCCCUUACAGGGGGAUAACCGGGAGAAAUUCCGACUAAUACCGCGUAUACCGCUCUGGGACAUCCCGGAGCGGCGAAAGGGCCUUCGGGUCCGGUAGGGGAUGGGCAUGCGGCGCAUUAGCCAGUAGGCGGGGUAACGGCCCACCUAGGCGACGAUGCGUAGGGGUUCUGAGAGGAAGGUCCCCCACAUUGGUACUGAGACACGGACCAAACUCCUACGGGAGGCAGCAGUGAGGAAUAUUGGUCAAUGGGCGCGAGCCUGAACCAGCCAAGUCGCGUGAGGGAAGACGGUCCUAUGGAUUGUAAACCUCUUUUGUCGGGGAGCAAAGGGAGCCGUGCGCGGCUUUAUAUGAGCGUACCCGAAGAAAAAGCAUCGGCUAACUCCGUGCCAGCAGCCGCGGUAAUACGGAGGAUGCGAGCGUUAUCCGGAUUUAUUGGGUUUAAAGGGUGCGCAGGCGGACAGCGCAAGUCAGCGGUAAAAAUUCGGGGCUCAACCCCGUCCUGCCGUUGAGACUGCCUGACUGGAGUGCGGCAGAGGAAAGCGGAAUGCGAGGUGUAGCGGUGAAAUGCAUAGAUAUCACGCAGAACUCCGAUUGCGAAGGCAGCUUUCCAUGCCGUUACUGACGCUGAGGCACGAAAGCGUGGGGAUCGAACAGGAUUAGAUACCCUGGUAGUCCACGCAGUAAACGAUGAGUACUAGCUGU